AGGUUACUUAAUCUUCUGAGCUUUAAUGGCCUCAUUACUAACGUGGAGAUAAUAAUCCGUACAAGGGAGGAUUUAGGGAUUCAGUGAGAGUCUACAGAGGGCACCUGGUGUUGGGUUUGGCACACGGUGGCACCCAGUAAGUGGCAGCUCUUCCAUCUGGGACCUUCCCUCUCCCCGGCCUGUAUCUUGUGGCUCCUGCAGGGUCCUUCACUUGAGACAUUUGCUGCCUGCCUUACCUAGAGGUCAAAGGUGUAACUUUUUCUCAUUCCAAGUAAGUGCAGUUCCUCAAAUGUUUCUUGAACACCAGCAACAGGGUCCACGUUGAGCGCGGAGGAUAGAGGAGCCAUUCUGCUGCCGCUUUGCCUCUCGGAUACUCAAGGCCAAAUGAGAGAGAGGAGCAGAACCCGAGUCCUGCUCCCAUCCCAGGAAUGUGGGGGCCUGGGUCCAGAGCAAAAGCAUGGAGCCCAAGGCACAUGGACAGUGUCUGCAGGGAAGCCUGGAUCAAGAACUCAGCAGACUGUCAGCUCUGGGCCAAAUUCCAAGAAGUUCCCAAGGGCCCAAGGUUGUGUUGGAGCAAGCACCCUUGGAAGAUGAGAUAGUGUCCCUUCCCCAGACAACAGGCAGGCUGCUGUGGGCAGUGGGUCCCCCUGGCCCUGUGUCCUCUCCCAUCUAGACCUGCCUGCAUCACGGCUGAGGCCUUGGAGCUCAGGGAGCUGAGGUGAUCAUGCCGACACUCUGGCUCCUGCUCUUGCUGUGAGUAAGGCCAUCUUUAGUCCCUGACCCAGGAGUCUGUCAGCUCCUGUCAGCCCCAUGCACCGUGGCAGGCCAUCUCACCAGCUUACAAGCAGGGAACAUCUCAGCCUCUUCACAGCCUGUGGCAUCCAGCAUUAGUCACUACCACUUCCAGCUGCUGUAGCCUACGCAUGUACCACAGACACAUGGGAGAUUCUUCUCUCAGCCUCUUGCCGACACCCAGAAUACCCACAGCUCUCUUUGUCUGUCUCAUUUCUUUCCCGUCCCAAACCAAGUAGCACCUCAGGCUUCCCCUCACAUCAGGUGUCUUCGCAGGAUCCCUUGCCCAACCUCUGUCUGAAGGGUGGGUCCCCCAGCACAGCCUACAAAGCCCUUGGGACCUACGCUUCCUGCUCUUAUGGCCCCAGCUCGGAGCUCUUCCCCAUCAGAAACUUGCACUGUAGCAAAGUCAACAUUUUCUGUUCCCCCAAGUUCAUGCCCUUUUAUGCUGUUCUUUCUGCCUGGAGCUAUCCUUCAUUGUCUUUGCCUCAUUCUUCAGGACUGAAUUCCAGAGAUACUUCCUCCAGAAAGCCUCCCCUAUGGUCCGGCUAGCUCAAUCAGCUUCUCUUAUACCCUC